rnacentral:rRNA from 1 species
UACGUAGGGACCAAGCGUUGUUCGGAUUUACUGGGCGUAAAGGGCGCGUAGGCGGCAAUUCAAGUCAUCUGUGAAAUCUCCGGGCUUAACUCGGAAAGGUCAACUGAUACUGUGCGACUAGAGUGCGGAAGGGGCAACUGGAAUUCUCGGUGUAGCGGUGAAAUGCGUAGAUAUCGAGAGGAACACCUGCGGCGAAGGCGGGUUGCUGGGCCGACACUGACGCUGAUGCGCGAAAGCCAGGGGAGCGAACGGG